rnacentral:lncRNA from 1 species
AUACUUGUUAAUACUCAUAUAAUACUAACAUGACAAUAAAGACACAAAAGGGAAAACAUAUAUGUGCAAGCCCAAUUUUAGCCCGAGGCCCAAAACCCAAACCAAACUAAACCUAACCUAAACAGACCCAAAAACAAUCCAUGGCCCAAUACCAGACACCCAAUUACAACCAAAAACCCAAUAGCCUAGACCAAAACCCGAAGCC